rnacentral:rRNA from 1 species
CUGAAAGCAUCUAAGCGAGAAGCGUGCCUCAAGAUAAGCUCUCCCGGGGUGUAUGCCCCCUAAAGACCACUUGUAGACUACGAGUUUGAUAGGCUGGGUGUGGAAGGCCAGUGAUGGCUGUAGCUGACCAGUACUAAUCGGUCGUGAGGUUUAACAUC